rnacentral:rRNA from 1 species
AUGCGAGCGUUAUCCGGAUUUAUUGGGUUUAAAGGGUGCGCAGGCGGACAGUCAAGUCAGCGGUAAAAUCGCGGGGCUCAACCCCGCUCAGCCGUUGAAACUGAUUAUCUAGCGUGGCGUCGAGGUAUGCGGAAUGCGUUGUGUAGCGGUGAAAUGCAUAGAUAUGACGCAGAACUCCAAUUGCGAAGGCAGCAUACCGGGCGCCUACGGACGCUGAGGCACGAAAGCGUGGGUAUCG